AAAGGCCAAUGGCUCAGAGAGGUGUCUCGGGUGCCAACCUCCCUGUCUUUCUGUCUGUCAGCUCAGGAGCCGUGAUGCAGAGGCAGAGAGCACCCCGUGCCCCAUCAGCUCCUGGCUCCGUGUCAACAUGUGGGUUGGCAAUAGUGAGCCAACGGCACCCUUGUGGUCUCCAAAAUAUGACGGUGGGUGGGCAUUCCUCAGGUCUGGCUGGGACAGCCCCUCAGGCAAGGGAGCCCGGGCUUCUGCCUCACCCGCCCCAGCCCCUGCAGCAGCCCGCGGAGGGAGGCAGCUCUGUGUGCGUUUGCACACCCCCACCCCCAGGUCAGGCCUGACUCCCCACAUGUCCCCGCAGGCUGACGCAGGGCUGCGCGCACAGCAGGUGCCCCAGGGACAUCCACUGCACGGCGUCUAUGUACGCCCACGGGGCCCUCUCAGUCCUGCAAGGCUUAAGGCUUGUUCUCAAGAGGGUCGCCCUUGGGCCAGGCUCCUUCCUGGCCCUCAGUGACCACAUCUGUGAAAUGGGGGUGGCGGUCAGGCUCACAGGCGGAGGAGCCCUUCCUGCUCUUGCCCUCCACAGGUCCCUUGCUUCAGGAGGAGAGCGGGCGGGAGUGUGGCGUUAGAACCCAAGACAGCUGUGCCUCAUUUACCACCAUAUGAAGAAGCUGAAGCUCAGAAGAGUGACAUACUGGGCAAAUAAUUACACCUUCAUCUCUACUGAGAUCAGAUGCCACAGGUCCAGUGGGGGCCCAGGGGUUGGCUCCUCCAGGAAGCCCGCCAGGAGUGUUGCAUUCUCCAAAGUCUUAAUGAACUUAUUUUGAGGGACAAAAAAGAAAAGAAGGAAGGAAACAUGCAUGAGAUGCUCACUCAUUGGCAAGUACUGCACAGGUACUCAUGGGGUCUGGACCACCCUGUGUAGGGCUCCUUGUACAGAUGUGGAUGUCAAGGUUCAGAAGGCUCAGGCCCAAACCCAGGGCUGGCUAAGUCCCAAGUACAAUGCGCUUUUCUCACUUAGUCAACCCCAUGGUUUAUUAUUCUAGAAUUGAUUCCUGGGUGCUUGUCUCUGCAACUCAGCUCUAAGCCCACCGACUCCAGAGAUUCUGCAGACCCGCGGCCUGGCCCCGGGGGCAGUCAGCAAAGACUCAAGGCCUUGAGAAGGCAGAGGGGUCACGGGCCCUGGAGCAAGCAGGCGGGGUUCAAAUUGCUCAUCUGUCACUUAGCACCGUGACCGUGGGUUCUCAGUUUUCCACUCAGGGCUUUAGCAUCUUCAUCUCUAACGCAGUGGGGGUAAUAACCCCGAGUCUCCGGCUCACCACGUGAUGUGUUGGGGAGGAGAUGAACUGUGAGUUUCAAGCACGCGGCAUGGCCCAGAGCGGGUGCACAAUACAGAAGAGCUAACUGCUCUCAUCAGCUCCCAGUGUGCACUGGGUGCCCCCCACUCCUGGUUGUGACCUGGCCCUCCCGUCCUGGAGGGCACCUGCCUCCUCUGCUCCCCGUGCUCUAGCUCUGGGCACCCAGGGGCCUGUUCGUCUUUGUGUCACUAGCUGUGGGUGGCUAGUGUGACCCUGCCCUGCCUCCCGGCUCUUCACCCUGUGAACCAGGUGGGGCUCCUUGGUGCCUCCAGCCGCCCAGAGGGAGGCAGGGAACUCAGUGAAGGUGCUGGCCUCCCCCUGGCCUGCUGGGAGCUGUGGAGGAGCCCUGGAGAUGGUCUCCUGGCUUCACAGCCAGGGGUGCGGUGGGCAUUUGCCAAGGGGACCAGAGCACCGCCCUGCAGAUUUGCUGUAGACUGAGGCUGGUGGCGUCUCAAUCCCCAGGAUGGUGGCAGCCAAGCCCCCAGGCAGGGUGGAAGAGGGGGCGGGGAUAGGGAGACGAAGCCACUUAAGUCAGCCACCAGGAGGUGUGAUGGGCAGAGCCUGUCUGCAUGAUCUGGGCUUCUGGCUAGUUCUCCCAUCCUUGGUCUCAGGUGGCAGUGGCUCCCUUGGGUGCUCAAACCAAGCUGACCUCUCAAAGGGUAGUUUGGGCCCAUCUGAGGCAGGAGUGCUGGGACCUGUAGGUUUUCUUCUUUGCACUCAGUCGUUACGUGGAGAGAGGUGCGGAGGGGUCAGAGAUUCUUUCCUAAGCUGCUGCUUCCGUAUCUCUCUAUAUACACCCCGCUGUGAAGCUCUGAGCCUGAUCUUGAUGAAGGACGUUCUUUUUUUUAUCUGCGGGCGUCCAUUUCCCGGGGGCGGGUGGUCCUAUUUUAUGAUCUCCAGGGGGAAUUAUCCUCAUUUGAUUGUUUCUUGCUCCUUUCUGUCUCCCCCACUACUUUGGAAACCUCCCCACAGAGAUUGCGGGGUUUUCAUCUGUGCUGGGACCCCAGUGCCUAGCCCCAGAGGGGCUCGGUAAGUCUCCUCUACAGGAAUGGGAGGCCCCGUCAUCAGGCCGGGCUGGAUAAGUGAUGGCAGGAGCAGAGGAAUAUGAGGUUCAUUUAGAAAGUUCUUCUGACCAUCCAGGGGUGUUCAUGACACUCAGCUCGUUAGAUCGCCUGCAUAAACUGCAGCAGGGCCAGGCCCACGCCCUGCACAAAUGAAAGUUCCUGAGACCCGGAGAGAGGAAGCAUCACAGGCCAGAUGACACCACUGGCUGGAGGGACAGCAGCAGGAGUGUGUCUCCCUGGCUUGAAGUUGGAUCAGGCUCCUGCAACAGUGCACAAAGGGGUCACAUUUCCACCUGGAAAUGGAGCCUCAGGCUCCUGAAUCAAAACCGGUUCUACCCUCCCUCACUUUGGUGCACGGGUCUGGUUGAGACUCAGCCACGGCUCUUGGAGCGGAUGUACAGAGCAAGCCUCAACCAACUGGAUGUACAGAACAAGCCUCCUCUGGCCACGGUGAUUAGUUCAGUGGGCUUGGCCAUGUGACACCAGCUGGGCCAAUCAGAACGAGUCUCUGGAUAUUUGCUGGACAUGUGGUUCUCCAUCCCCACUGUCAUCCAUUGCUGCAUCCUUGCCCUGGGAUCUCUGGGAUGUCAUGGCUGGAGAGAGAAAAACGUACAUGGUAUUGGACACUGGAUUUGUCCAGAUGGGUUCUCAGAGCUCAAGGAGUCAGGAGUCAUGAUGGGAAGGACCGCAGGAAAUAGAUUAAGGAUCUCCAAGACCACUUGUCAUUGCUGGGUAAGCCCCUUCCUGACCGACUUAUCUAGAAAAAACACAAGUCACAGGCCAGGGAGAGACCGGACCUCAUGGCCCUUAUGAGACACAGCCUCUGCGUUCCUGAGGAUGCCCAUGGAGCCAGGCACAGCUGUCGGUUUCUCCCGUGAUUUACACCUAACGUGGGUGUGGCACACCUGGGCUGGAGCUGCACCUGUGGAAAGCUACGCUCGUUUCUGUUUCCUGCUGGCUGACACAGAACUUUACAAAGACACCACUGGACUGAGGUGUGACUUCAGAAAGCCACAAAGGAGGGAGAGGCUCCAGUCAGCACUUCUUCCUCAGCUUCUCACAGAAGAGGGGACUGUCCCUUCUGCUCUGGGCCCCAGGCUGGUGAACUCAGAGGGGGCAUUCUCUCCCAGGUUGUGCAGGUGCAGGCUGGCCCUCAACGCAGAGCCCCCCCGCCUUAAGUUUGACACCCUAGGUGCCUCCGGUGCCUCAUGCUCGUCCUGGGCCCACCACAGGUCUAACCUGGGGGCCUGGGUGACCUUGGUGCCGAGCUCGGAGACUUCUCAGCCUGCACACAUGCUGUGGCUUGAAGAACAGAGUGUAAGGACCUCCUCGGAGGGCUCUCCAGUCUGCCCCGCACUGUGCACUGUGCCUGUGGGGCUACAGCUCCCCAAGGCUCGCCACACUCCCUCUGCCAUGCCAUCCUGGUCCUGGCCCGCUGGGUGAUGGAGGACCUUUGGCCUCAAACUUAAAAUGGGUCUCAUUAGCCACUUCCAUGGAGCCUCAUCAGACGCCUUGGCGGAAUGGCAGCUUGGGGCAUUACUCCUCAAGCACUUCAUGCCCAGUGCCCAGAAGCAUGGUGUGCGAAACGGUGGAGGGGAGAGUUCUGUGCUACUCCAGCUGGUCAGAUCCGCUGGGAGAGCUGCAUUUCCAUAGGGCAACCAAGGGGCCCGGGCCACUGAAUGGGGAGUGGGUAGCAAAGGGCUGAGCAAUACACCUGUGUCCGAAAGAUGCUCAACCUGAUCGGAAAACAGGGACGUGUAAACUAGAGCAGCAGGGCCCAAAGGUGCUUUUUGCACCUGUCAGAUGGCCAGUCCCAGUACCUGGGACCAGAGCUGGGUAUUUUCUCUCCUCUCAGCACUGGCCAAGCUGUUAGCUACAGGACCGUGGGAGGGCAAUGCCAAGGGCAGAACCAGUGUGUUUUGGAGGGAAAUGAAAGUGGGUUCUUCUCUCUCAGAUUCAUAACAGGUGUGGAGCUAGCGAGAGGCAGACGAUGGAGUGGGUCCCCAGCGUCACGUUCCUAGCUCCUCUUCUCCCUCUAAGGCUCGAGGUGGGGGAGGGAGUGGGUGCCGAGGCUGGCCUUGCAGGGUGCGGGUUCAGGACCGGCUUAGCCCAGAGAUAUUGGCCUGAGAACCUGUUCACACAGACACACUGUUCCCUCGGCCCCGGCUCAGAGGAGAUCCCACCCUGGGUGUCCGUGCAACCCUGGGAACUCCUGGAAAUGCAUCUGCAGUGGAGACAGGACGCCAGCCGCAAACAGCCUGCAGCCUCGGAGGACGCAUGGCUCUUGCCCAUUAUUACCGGCCGGAAAUGGGUGCUGGUGGGGGGCUUUAUCUCAGUUCUGAAAGUCCGAUGAUGUACGCCCUGGCUCAGGUCCUCGAUCCUUGAGCGCCGGUUCCCAAACUCCAAAUCCCCGACAGCCAAAGAUUUUUAUAACUCACCUGGUGGCAAGUCCCAGGCUAAAGUGAUGUGGGGUUAAUUGAUGGUCUUAAUUACUUACUGUAUUAUUUCAUUAUUUACUUUAAAUGUUUAUAUGUUUCCCUACAGAAAUAUUAGUGUGUUGGAUUACGGGGUGUUCCUGAGAACACGCGGGUGUUACAUAAUCUACUCAUAUACACACCGUAUACCUUUUCUGAAACCCUACAUUCCUGAAUGUUGAGCUAUCUGGCCCUGAGAUCAACUAUAGUGGGCUCAUAUUAUUUCCAUUUUACGUACAAGGAAAACUCAGGUUCUGGGAAGAAUCAGUCAUCCUGCCUGAUACCACAAAGCUCCUGAGUGACAGGCAGACGCGAACCCAGGGUCUUCUGACGGUCCAUCCUGCACUCUCAGCCAUCAGGAACAGGGCCUGUGCUUCUUAAAUGCAUGUGAAUUCAGAGGUUAGAACAACUAUGGUUUCUGUGAGCGCCUUUUAAAACCCUCUGUUCCGAGAACAAGGGCACAACACCGAGACCGCCCAACCACAAGUCCCUGAUUGGAUCUGGCAUGCGAAGGUCUUUGUAGAGCCCUCUUAGUUAUUUUUAUAAUAAACUUCAAAAAGCUUUCUGUGCUUUGGAUAUUUAUUCUUUCUGGACAUAGUGGUAAGCAGAGAUUUAUCCACAGAAAGCCAAGAGUUUAACGAAGGCUUUUGUACUGCAAAUGUGUU